GAUCAGAAAUCCUCUGUACCUGAAGACCUAGUUAAGGUCACCUGUAACUGUUGGGGAGAGUGCCUUUGCCACUCAGGACCCAGGAAGGGUCAUUCAGAGCUGAUGAGUGUUUCAGCCUGAGGCAAAGGAGUAUGUGUCUGCCAAUGAGACACGGCCUGAAAGAGCAUGUCUCUGCAGAGGCACCAGUGGACGCACUGGUACAAGAGAAUGCCUCUAUCUUUGUACCAUUCUGUUUUGCUCUGUAUCUGCUCUGAAGAGGAAAUUGAGGAUUCCAGGGAAAAUUAAAACUUCACACCCUAUAGGAAAAUAAACAAGGGAAAGUGUAAGAUUUGUAAAUGAAAGAAGGUAUAUAAAAAGAUAUCAGAAGAAAAAGGAUUUUCCUUCACACUUGAUAUUUUUCUCCUUACCUGAUCCCUCCAAAAUUUGGCAUUACAUAAGGUUUCUUUGCAUAAAUCCAUUAAGACCAGUCAUUAAUGGUGAUUUGUUAAUUGAAAUUUUAACUGGGAUUUCACACCUGAAGGAGAUGUAUCUGGGUUCUGGUCAUCACCAGAAAGCCCUGAGGAACUGGGAUUGACUUGCAAAACUAGCGAGAACCCACAAGAAAAGCCUAGUACCUUGGUUGGUUGUGCAGUUCAUAGCAGUCUUUCCAGGGAAGGAAUGAAGGUUGCUUUCCUGAAAGAUAGCCAAAAAGGAACCUGUAGGCACAAUGGAAGCCUCAAGGAUUUGACUGAAACAACUGGUGCAGGCAAAGCCAGAUGGCAGAUGUGUGGCUCUGCUUCUGUGCCUUGAGGGGCAGACUAAAAAAGUCAACCUAAGUGCUCUCUGUGUGAAUUCCAGUAAAGCAGAUUAAAGAUCAUAGGUGAUCCAGGCUGCUCUUAGUGUGUUUAUGCAAACAAACAGUAAAAAUUAAAAGAUGGACUGAAAGUAGUCCCUUUGAUAACAAUGAGGGUGAUCUUAGGAA